AUUGAACGCUGGCGGCAGGCUUAACACAUGCAAGUCGAACGGUAACAUAAAGAAGCUUGCUUCUUUGAUGACGAGUGGCGGACGGGUGAGUAAUGCUUGGGAAUCUAGCUUAUGGAGGGGGAUAACUACGGGAAACUGUAGCUAAUACCGCGUAGAAUCGAGAGAUGAAAGUGUGGGACCUUCGGGCCACAUGCCAUAGGAUGAGCCCAAGCGGGAUUAGGUAGUUGGUGAGGUAAAGGCUCACCAAGCCGACGAUCUCUAGCUGGUCUGAGAGGAUGACCAGCCACACUGGGACUGAGACACGGCCCAGACUCCUACGGGAGGCAGCAGUGGGGAAUAUUGCGCAAUGGGGGCAAACCCCUGACGCAGCCAUGCCGCGUGAAUGAAGAAGGCCUUUCGGGUUGUAAAGUUUCUUUUCGGUAAGCGAGGAAGG
rnacentral:rRNA from 1 species